UACGGAGGGGGCUAGCGUUGUUCGGAAUUACUGGGCGUAAAGCGUGCGCAGGCGGCUUCUCAAGUCAGGGGUGAAAGCCCAGAGCUCAACUCUGGAAUUGCCUUUGAGACUGAGUGGCUUGAGUACGAGAGAGGUGAGUGGAAUUCCCAGUGUAGAGGUGAAAUUCGUAGAUAUUGGGAAGAACACCGGUGGCGAAGGCGGCUCACUGGCUAGAAACUGACGCUCAUGCACGACAGAGUGGGGAGCAAACAGG
rnacentral:rRNA from 1 species